GCCUGGCAGGAUGCUGGACUUGUCCUGUCCACGAGCAGCAAUGAAGCCUGUAAGCUCUUUGAUGCUGUGCUGACCCAGUAUGCAACUUGGACCAAUAAUGAGAGCCUUGGAGGUAUUGAAGAAUGUCUCUCCAAGCUAAAAGCAGCAGAUCCAAACUUUACCAUGGGACACGUCCUUGCCAAUGGCUUAGAGCUGAUUGGCACUGGAAGGAGUGUGAGGCUCGACAGGGAGCUGGGCAGCGCCGUCACAGCCAUGGUGGCACUUUCCAAGGCACAGCCGCUGACAGAGAGGGAGAGGCUCCAUGUGUCAGCGCUGGACGUGUUUGCCAGGGGCCAACUUCCAAAAGCUUGUGAGCUAUGGGAGCAGAUUCUGCAGAGCCACCCCACUGACCUGCUGGCCCUCAAGUUUUCCCAUGACACUUAUUUCUACCUGGGGUACCAACGCCAGAUGAGAGAUUCUGUUGCCCGUGUUUAUCCUUUCUGGACUCCUGAUGUUCCUCUGAGCAGCUAUGUGAAGGGCUACUACUCCUUUGGACUGGUGGAAACAAACCUUUAUGACCGUGCUGAGAAGGUUGCCCAUGAGGCUUUGGCUAUAAAUCAGACAGAUGCAUGGUCUGUCCAUACCAUAGCUCAUGUCAAUGAAAUGAAAGCUGAGGUGGAGAAAGGCUUAAAAUUCAUGAAGGAAACAGAAAAGAACUGGAAGAGCAGUGAUAUGCUUGCUUGCCAUAAUUACUGGCACUGGGCUUUAUACUACAUUGAAAAGGGGGAAUAUGAAGCUGCUUUGACAAUUUAUGACAAGCAUAUUGCUCCUGUGUGCCUGGCAAGUGGAAGCAUCCUGGAUAUAGUUGAUAACUGUUCAAUGCUGUACAGGCUUCAUCUGGAAGGUGUAAAGCUUGGGGACAGGUGGAAUGAUCUGCUUGGGGUUACAAAGAAGCACACCAAGGAUCACAUUCUUCUGUUCAAUGAUGUGCACUACUUGAUGUCUUUCCUUGGAGCCAAAGACCACAAAACUACUGAGGAGCUUUUAACAACUCUGCAGGAACUGGCCAGAGCACCUCAUGAAGACCACCAGCUUUCCCUGGCUCCUCAUUUGGGGCUGCCACUGUGCCAGGCUUUUGUGGAGUUUGAAAAUGGGAAUUGUGACAAAGCUGUAGAUCUGCUCUACCCAAUCCGUUACGAACUGGUCCAAGUGGGAGGCAGUGAUGCUCAGAGAGAUGUUUUCAGCCUGUUAUUGAUUCAUGCUGCUUUAAAUUCUAAAUCAGAGACCAAACGAAACCUUGCAAGGUGCCUCCUGCACGAACGUGACCUGCUGAGACCCAAGUCCCCAAUGACGGAGCGACUGAUCAGGAAGGCAGCAGCUGUGCAUUCCAUGGCAUAGGGCUUUCCUCCAGCUUCAGCUGCAAGAGCCAGGAGCUUCCCACAAAGCCUGGGAGCAGGGAGUGCAGGGGUGCUGUGAAGGAAUUCAGGGAGGUACUCAAGCGUAAAAGAUUUGAGAAUUAUUUCCUUAAAAAAAGACAGCUGUUGCAUUUCUGGAGGUUGUGCCUUAGAUGAUUCCACAAGGAAAGAAGAAAACUUGCUGAUAAUGCAAGCAAAACUUGCUGACAAAGCUUUCUGGAGCAUCCCAAAGGCACUGCUGCUCUGUGGCCAGAAGCACGCAGCAGUGGAGAGCAGCAGUAUCUGUGUUCGCACAGGUCACAGCCCAAGCAUUAGGAGGAGGCUGAGGUGCCACAAGGUGGGUGAACCAUUGUUUCUUUCUCAUCCUCCUGCAUUCAGAGUAUGCAUUUUCCACCUUUCCUCCCCCUUCAGCUCAGUUACCCAGACUGCAGCUCUCAUCCCCAGUCCCGCCCUCUGAUGGAAAAGCCAAAGCCUUGCGCACCAGAGAGCUGCGUCCAUCCCUGCUGCAGGGUGGGUUGGACCAUGAACAGCUCUGCAUUCCUGUACUGCUCUGUCCCUACUCUGUGUGUGGUGCUCUGGACUGAUCCUAAGCUGUCAGCAUCUCACUGGCACCCUCCCCACCCAGCCAUGGCGCUUUCUCCAGGUGCCUGAUUUAGAGUCUUUCAAAGUUACUCAUCUGCAUAUUAAAGCAGUACAUCCCUAGAACCUCUCAAUAUCUCACUACUUCAAGAUUUAAGACCAACAGUUCUGCCACUACCUCACUUAAUUCUUUCACCUUUUCUUAGGACUUCAUUUACUGCUCAGAGCAGCUGUUUAAUUACAUGAAAUCUAACCAAACUGCCCCACCACUUUAAUACUGAACAUCUCCUAGUUAGGAAGUUAACGUACAGAAAUAUUCCCUCCUUAGCAGUUAGCUAAACACCCACCCUACCAUAGCAGACUAAGUGUGCAAUUCCCUGAUAUAGAAACACCAAAUGAACACAGGGAAUGCAGGCAGGAGCUGGUUCACUCAGCAUAUUUAGUCUUGCCAUGUUUAUGUAAAGACAAACUGCACACUGAAAGUGCCUGAACACAGGGUUUAUUUGCAAAUACAGCAAGCUCAGUAAUUCAGAAAUUCUACAGGCAAACGAGAAAGAAAGAUCUUUAAAAUUGAUAAAAUCUUCUCCACGUGUUUUGAUUUAGUUCUAAGUCAUUUCAGUAAGAUUUUCUGGAUUUAUCUUCUCCGUUCCUCUUGGGAAGAACUUGUUAUCUUUGAGUGAUUGACAGAUUUCUAACACAGAUGCAAAAACCUCACAGGCUAUUUGCUUUCUGUAAAGCUUAUUCGAAAUAAAAAUUACUGCUCCUCUGUCCUCACUCACAGCUUCCCCUCUGAACAGCUAAACUGCCUGAAUAUGGCAUUUUGUACAGAGGGCCUUCAGUUUGAUCCACUUACAGACUCCCUGCUAACAUCCAGGAGAAAUUGCAGAGGUUUCUGACCCAGGAUCACCCCCAAAUCAGAAAGAGGACUCUCACUUGUCAGCACCCUGCCCCAUGCAAGUGGGCAGCAGAACAUGCAGGCAGUGCCUUGGGACAGUUCUACCACUGGCCUCAGGAGAACCUAACUGGUCUCUCUUGGUUCCAUUCUAAUCUGAAAAAAACGAAAAUUACUGCACAAACAGGACAGAACAUCUCCAUGAUCCUUAAGGAAUUUCUCCUGUCCUACUGUGCUACGUGGCCACACCCACUGGAAAGCCUGGCUCCUUGGGACACAGCCUUUGUGUCCUUGUGCCAUUAGCUGCAGCCAAACCACCACAUUUUGGUAUCUGCUUACUCACAUGUGGUGGCUUUCACAGUUUCAGCUGAGCUCUGCUUUUGUGUAGGUUACAGCAAGUUACUGCUCAUUUCCACAAGGAAUCUGAUCCAACAGCUUUCUGAUCCAUCUGCCAUUGUACAGAUGAAAACUCUUGAGAACUAACAACAUGGAUUUACAAUAUGCUGUUUCUUUUUUUGUUUAUCAUUUUAACUCAAAACAUGUACCAGCAUUAACAAGCAGUGCUUUGAAAACAAACUCAAGUCAUUAUUACCUACACUGAGUUGUUUAUAGUAAUGAUAGCUGAGAGGAUCAAGAACAGGUGAAUUCUGCACUGAAAAGAAUUUCUGGCUACUAAACACCUGACAGCUUCCUUUAAAACUACUGCAGUGUUAAUUUUUCUUUUAACUGUUUGCAAAGAGAAGUCCUCUCUAUUUUUUUAGAUGAUGCAUUUGCAAUUAUUUGCCCACAGCAGUCAUAACAUUCAAUUUCCCAUCCCACAAUUCUGAUUUUUCUGCUAUGGUUAUCAAAAUGUCUGUGCUUCAUUUAAGAGAGGAACAGAA